rnacentral:rRNA from 1 species
CGUCCUAUUAGCUAGUUGGUGAGGUAAUGGCUCACCAAGGCUACGAUGGGUAGGGGUUCUUAGUGGAAGGUCCCCCACACUGGCACUGAGAUACGGGCCAGACUCCUACGGGAGGCAGCAGUAGGGAAUAUUGGUCAAUGGGCGCAAGCCUGAACCAGCCAUGCCGCGUGCAGGAUGAAGGCUCUCUGAGUUGUAAACUGCUUUUGUACGGGAGCAAAAAAAUCCCUGCGGGGGUUCUUGAGAGUACUGUAAGAAUAAGCACCGGCUAAUUCCGUGCCAGCAGCCGCGGUAAUACGGGAGGUGCAAGCGUUAUCCGGUUUUAUUGGGUUUAAAGGGUGCGUAGGCGGCUUAUUAAGUCAGUUGUGAAAUCCUAGUGCUUAACGCUAGAACUGCGAUUGAUACUAUU